UCUGCUGUAGGACUGCUGGAGGUCCACUCCAGACCUUGCUUGCCUGGGAAUCACCUGCUGGGGCUGCAGAGCAGUAAGGAUUGCUGCCUGAUCUUUCCUCUGGUAGCUUUGUCCCAGAAAGUUACCCACCAGGUGUCAGCCUGAUCUCUCCUGUAUGAGGCAUCUUUUUUUGGUUAUUCAGAGGUCAUGGA